rnacentral:misc_RNA from 1 species
GCUUUAUUGAGAGCCAAGUAAAGAAAAUCUCAGAUUUAAGAAGAUUAUGUGCUGAAAAGGGAGUUAACCCAUGGAUCGAGGUGGACGGUGGAGUCGGUCCAGCCAAUGCAUACAAGGUAAUUGAGGCUGGAGCCAAUGCUUUAGUUGCAGGUUCUGCUGUUUUUGGAGCUAAAGAUUAUGCUGAGGCCAUAAAAGGAAUCAAAACAAGCAAAAGGCCGGAGGCAGUUCCAGUAUGAAAGUGACUUGUACAAGAUCUGAGUUGUUUCAGUUGAUAGUAUUGUUGUGUUAUUCAUUGCCAUAGAGAAUCUCCAACUGCAUAGGUAGCUGAACAUUUUAUUCUUCAAGCUCUUAUCUCAGCCAUGGUUGCUACCUCCACAGUUUUAUUCCUUGUGAAAAGAAGCCUGUAGAUUGCCACUUGAAGAUUUGUUAUGUACUAUAACAUACCAGAACAAAUUUAGUACAAAUUCAA